rnacentral:rRNA from 1 species
UGAUGUGAUCAUGCCAAUACUAACACAUCGAAUCUCAUCAAAACUUUGAAGUUAAGAGUGCUUGUGCGAGAGUAGUAUGAGGAUGCCGACUCCUUCAGAAGUCCUCAUAUUGCAUCCU